rnacentral:rRNA from 1 species
UACGUAGGGGGCGAGCGUUGUCCGGAUUUAUUGGGCGUAAAGAGCGUGUAGGCGGUUCGGUAAGUCUGUCGUGAAAUCCUGAGGCUCAACCUCGGGCGUGCGAUGGAUACUGCCGGGCUAGAGGAUGGUAGAGGCGAGUGGAAUUCCCGGUGUAGCGGUGAAAUGCGCAGAUAUCGGGAGGAACACCUGCGGCGAAGGCGGGUAGCUGGGCCGACACUGACGCUGAGGCGCGAAAGCUAGGGGAGCGAACGGG